rnacentral:rRNA from 1 species
UACGUAGGUGGCAAGCGUUGUCCGGAAUUAUUGGGCGUAAAGCGCGCGCAGGCGGUCCUUUAAGUCUGAUGUGAAAGCCCACGGCUCAACCGUGGAGGGUCAUUGGAAACUGGGGGACUUGAGUGCAGGAGAGAAGAGUGGAAUUCCACGUGUAGCGGUGAAAUGCGUAGAGAUGUGGAGGAACACCAGUAGGCGAAGGCGGCACUUGCGUCGGUAACUGACGCUGAGGAGCGAAAGCGUGGGAGCAAACAGGAUUAGA